CUGCGAAUGGCUCAUUAUAUAAGUUAUCGUUUAUUUGAUAGUACCUUACUACUUGGAUAACCGUGGUAAUUCUAGAGCUAAUACAUGCUGAAAAUCCCGACUUCGGAAGGGAUGUAUUUAUUAGAUUAAAAACCAAUGCCCNUCUGGGCUCUCUGGUGAUUCAUAAUAACUUCUCGAAUCGCAUGGCCUUGCGCCGGCGAUGGUUCAUUCAAAUUUCUUCCCUAUCAACUUUCGAUGUUUGGGUAGUGGCCAAACAUGGUUGCAACGGGUAACGGAGGGUUAGGGCUCGACCCCGGAGAAGGAGCCUGAGAAACGGCUACUACAUCCAAGGAAGGCAGCAGGCGCGCAAAUUACCCAAUCCCGAUUCGGGGAGGUAGUGACAAUAAAUACUGAUACAGGGCUCUUUUGGGUCUUGUAAUUGGAAUGAGUACAAUUUAAAUCCCUUAACGAGGAACAAUUGGAGGGCAAGUCUGGUGCCAGCAGCCGCGGUAAUUCCAGCUCCAAUAGCGUAUAUUAAAGUUGUUGUGGUUAAAAAGCUCGUAGUUGAACCUUGGGCCUGGCUGGCCGGUCCGCCUCACCGCGUGUACUGGUCCGGCCGGGUCUUUCCCUCUGUGGAACCCCAUGCCCUUCACUGGGUGUGGCGGGGAAACAGGACUUUUACUUUGAAAAAAUUAGAGUGCUCCAGGCAGGCCUAUGCUCGAAUACAUUAGCAUGGAAUAAUGAAAUAGGACGUGCGGUUCUAUUUUGUUGGUUUCUAGGACCGCCGUAAUGAUUAAUAGGGACAGUCGGGGGCAUCAGUAUUCAAUUGUCAGAGGUGAAAUUCUUGGAUUUAUUGAAGACUAACUACUGCGAAAGCAUUUGCCAAGGAUGUUUUCAUUAAUCAGGAACGAAAGUUAGGGGAUCGAAGACGAUCAGAUACCGUCGUAGUCUUAACCAUAAACUAUGCCGACUAGGGAUCGGACGAUGUUAUUUUNUUGACUCGUUCGGCACCUUACGAGAAAUCAAAGUGCUUGG
rnacentral:rRNA from 1 species